rnacentral:tRNA from 1 species
CAGCCCUCAUAGCUUCCCCAAAGCACUGCACUG